GACAGAGGGUGCAAGCGUUGUUCGGAAUUAUUGGGCGUAAAGGGCGCGUAGGCGGCUUGAUAAGUCAAAGGUGAAAUCCCUCGGCUCAACUGAGGAACUGCCUUUGAAACUGUCGGGCUUGAGGCCGGGAGGGGGUAGCGGAAUUCCCAGUGUAGCGGUGAAAUGCGUAGAUACUGGGAGGAACACCGGUGGCGAAGGCGGCUACCUGGACCGGUUCUGACGCUGAGGCGCGAAAGCGUGGGUAGCAAACAGG
rnacentral:rRNA from 1 species